GACGAACGCUGGCGGCGGGCUUAACACAUGCAAGUCGAACGGAAAGGUCCGGCUUUGUGGGGGUGCUCGAGUGGCGAACGGGUGAGGAACACGUGAGUAAGCUGCCCUUGACUUUGGGAUAACUUCAGGAAGCUGGGGCUAAUACCGGAUAGGAGCUCCUGCUGCAUGGUGGGGGUGGGAAAGUUUCGGCGGUUGGGGAUGGACUCGCGGCUUAUCAGCUUGUUGGUGGGGUAGUGGCAUACCAAGGCUUUGACGGGUAGCCGGCCUGAGAGGGUGACCGGCCACAUUAGGACUGAGAUACGGCGCAGACCACUACGGGAGGCAGCGGUGGGGAGUAUUGCACAAUGGGCGGAAGCCUGAUGCGGCGACGCCGCGCGCGGGAUGACGGCAAUGGGGUUGUAAACCGCAUUCCCUUGUGACGAAGCGUGAGUGACGGUACCGGGUGAAGAAGCCCCGGCUAACUACGUG
rnacentral:rRNA from 1 species